GGAAGGAUCAUUUCUAUAUUCUUAACUGUAUUAAAGAAGGAAGCAAUUCUUUCUUUUUACACCAUAAUUAGUGAUUACCAUAAAGUUUUUAUUAUUAACAACAAUUCAUUUUGUCUGUCUUAAUUUUAAAAUAAAACUAAAGAUAUUACAACUUUUAACAAUGGAUAUCUUGGUUCUGGGGUUGAUGAAGAGCGCAGCGAAAUGCGAUACGUAAUGUGAAUUGCAGGAUUUGUGAAUCAUCAAAACCUUGAACGCACCUUGCACUGGAGAUGAAUUAAUCUUCAGUAUACCUGUAAGAGUAUUGGUGAACAUUCAUUUAUAAAAAAAUCCUUUUUUCGAAAGGGGAAAAUGAACUUUCAAAAUAGAAUCUAUUUUGUAGUUUUAAAUUCUAGAUUUUUAGUUAAUUAAAAUCUAUUACUAACUAUAUUGAAUUAAUUCAUUAAUUUAAUAAGUAAUACUUUGAUUAAUUAGAAGAAAAAAGGUUCAACCAAUUUAUUUCAAAUUCAAUCUCUUGUCAGGUAAAACUACCCGCUGAAUUUAAGCAUAUAACUAAGCGGAGGUAAAAGAAACUAACAAGGAUUCCCCUAGUAAGGGCGACUGAACAGGGAAAAGCUCAGAAUGAAAAUCUCUUCUAGUUAACUCUAGGAGCGAAUUGUAGUCUUUGGAAGCGUAUUCACGGACAGGUUUUAUAGGUCAAAGUCUCCUGGAAAGGAGCGCCAUAGAAGGUGACAGUCCUGUCAAUGGCUUAUUUAAAUCUGUCAACACGUGUUACGUCUUCUUCGAGUCGUGUUGUUUGGAAGUACAGCACAAAUUUUUGGGUGGUAAAUUUCAUCUAAAGCUUAAAUAUUACCCAGAGACCGAUAGCGAACAAGUACUGUGAAGGAAAGAUGCAAAGAACUUUGAAAAGAGAGUGAAAAGUCCUUGAAAUUGUUAAAAGGGAAGCGAUUAAAACUAGUAUUUUUUUGUUUGGGUGGCAAAUCAGCUUUAGAAUGUUUUCUCUGGGUAUUCAAAGAGUGUCAAAGCCUUUGUGUAUUUAGAGGAGGCAUUUUUGGGUGCACUUUGUUAUUCAAAUAGUCAAUAUGGAUUGUGAGAAUAGUAGAAAGAUAGGAGAAAGGUAGUAAGGUGGAAACACUUUAUGUUAUAUUCUUCUAUAAAAAGCCUAUUUUUACAAUUGAGGGGUACAUUCUGUACCGUAAGCAACAUCUCGAGUGAAGAGUGGAUUACUUUGCUAGUCAGGUGGUAGAAUGGGCAACCAUUGUGCUGUUUGGUUGGUGAUUUAGUCUAUUUUUAUUCUCUGUUGCUGUAAGAUAUUGACAAAAUGGUUUUAAUCGUCCCGUCUCGAAACACGGGCCAAGGAGUCUAACAUGUAUGCGAGCAAUAGAGUGCAAAACUCUAUUUACGUAGUGAAAGCAUUACAAGUGGGAUAGGAUAAAACCUUGCACCAUUGACCGAUCUUGAGGAAUUUUUUCCAGAGAUUUGAGUUAUAGCAUACCUGUCGGGACCCGAAAGAUACGCGAACUAUGCUUGCUUAGGGUGAAGUCAGGCGAAAGUCUGAUGGAGGCUCGUAGCGGUUCUAACGUGCAAAUUGAUCGUCAAAAGUGAGUAUAGCGGCGAAAGACUAAUCGAGCUAUCUAGUAGCUGGUUUCCUC
rnacentral:misc_RNA from 1 species